CAUACCUUUCAUACUUAAAAUUUAUUUAUUUUUUUCUUUCAUUCAACAAGUAUAAAUGGAGGACCUCAUUGUAGGCCCUGGAGAUAAGUAAUGAUUGACCCAAACAAAUCUAAUCUCUGUUCUCAUAAUCAAGAAAAUAUCAGAUGGGAAUAGGAGCGUUGCAGAAAAUUAGAAGUGGGUGGUAUACUCAAGGUUGACCUCAAGUACUUAAGAAUGAGUGGCCAGUGAAGCCACUUUUAGAAAGGGACAUUUCAAUUAUGAUUGCUAUGAAGAGGAAAGAGGAUUGCAAGCAAAGGGCACAGCUGGUACAAAGGCCCUAAGGCCAAUAUGAAGGCUUCUGAAGAGAAUUCUCUUCAUUCUCUUAAGAGGCUGAGAGAAUGAAGAGAACAUGGUGCAAAAUGAAUGGAAGAGAAUGAAGUUAAGAGAAUAUGGUGCAAAAUGAAUGGAAGAAGUAGGUGGUACCAGAUCAUGAAAGUUUUUGUGGAGCAGGGCAGGGAAUUUGGGUUUUAUUCUAAAUCAUUGAAAGCCUUCAAGUAUACAUGCACACAAAAGAUCUUCAUUAAAUUAGCAAGUACAAGCCACUGUACUAGAUUCUUUAGGGAAAGAGAGAUGACUGUUAAGAUUUAUGCUCUUACAGAAAUUGCAGGUCAGUUAUACAGAAAACAAUGUUUCUUGAUUAUACAUUGUGUAGACAUUUCUUAACACAAACUAUAUACAUAUUAAUGAACCAAUAAUAGUUUAAUCAUCACUAACCUAUUCCUGGUAGAAAUCAUCCUAUAUUAUAGUAUUCACAAUUGAUUCAUUAAUUUUUUGAACUUGACAUUUAGAAUAAUUAUUUUGAGGCAAUAGUAUGUCUUUAACUGUGACUUUUCUUUUUGGGUCUCCUCUGGGUCCAACUGACAGUGUAUACUGGCCCUUGUUCGUCCUGAUUUUCCACGCCAUCUCCCCUAUUCCCCAUUUCAUCGCCAAAAGAGUCACAUAUGACUCUGACGCAACCAGUAGUGCCUGUCGGGAACUGGCGUAUUUCUUCACUACUGGGAUUGUUGUUUCUGCCUUUGGAUUUCCUGU
rnacentral:lncRNA from 1 species